AGAGUUUGAUCCUGGCUCAGAUUGAACGCUGGCGGCAGGCCUAACACAUGCAACUCGAGCGGAUGAGGGUAGCUUGCUACCUGAUUCAGCGGCGGACGGGUGAGUAAUGCCUAGGAAUCUGCCCGAUAGUGGGGGAUAACGUUCCGAAAGGAACGCUAAUACCGCAUACGUCCUACGGGAGAAAGCGGGGGAUCUUCGGACCUCGCGCUAUCGGAUGAGCCUAGGUCGGAUUAGCUAGUUGGUGAGGUAAAGGCUCACCAAGGCGACGAUCCGUAGCUGGUCUGAGAGGAUGAUCAGCCACACUGGAACAUGAGACACGGUCCAGACUCCUACGGGAGGCAGCAGUGGGGAAUAUUGGACAAUGGGCGAAAGCCUGAUCCAGCCAUGCCGCGUGUGUGAAGAAGGUCUUCGGAUUGUAAAGCACUUUAAGUUGGGAG
rnacentral:rRNA from 1 species